rnacentral:rRNA from 1 species
GACGAACGCUGGCGGCGCGCCUAACACAUGCAAGUCGAGCGGGAAGCUUUUUGAGGAUUCUUCGGAUGAAUUAAAAGUGGAGAGCGGCGGACGGGUGAGUAACGCGUGAGAAACCUGCCCUAUACAGGGGGAUAGCCAUUGGAAACGAUGAUUAAUACCCCAUAUGACCACAGUAUCGCAUGAUACAGCGGUGAAAACUCCGGUGUAUAGGAUGGUCUCGCGUCUGAUUAGCUAGUUGGUGGGUAACGCCUACCAAGGCGACGAUCAGUAGCCGGCUGAGAGGGUGACCGGCCACACUGGAACUGAGACACGGUCCAGACUCCUACGGGAGCAGCAGGUGGGGAAUAUUGCACAAUGGGCGAAAGCCUGAUGCAGCGACGCCGCGUGAA